UUCUACCUCACGGCAUUGUGAGGCGACUCCCCAUAACCUCUAGCCGAAAACCUCUCUUUCUCUGCGUCUAAAGCUUUGCCCGCAUCACCUCACGCCCGCAAGUCCCCACACAUCCGGGCUUCAUAUUGUGCUAGGUUUUCGGCUCUCAAAACUCCCUCUCCGGAAGCACUCGCUUGGCUAAACCCCUCUCCUCUUCGAUACUUAAUCGGGACAUUACCCUGGUUCCUCCCGAUCACCGCCCUCUCUUCCCAAAACCCUCGCCUAUUUCAUUUCAAGAGCAGCGUAGAAGUCUCUUGCCUGGUCGCGCUUUUGCUGUGCCGUAGAAAUCAAAGCUCAGGCUUUUGCUUCGACGCUUUCUUACGGAGAUAAGGGCAGAAUAUAGCGAGGAACCCUCCACGUUUUUUAGCUCCUCGCCUCUGCUUACUUGGCUUGGGUUUGUGCUAUCGUGGUUCUAGCCCCUUGAGGAGGAGCCACACAUCUAGAGGAACUUCAAGCACAAGGCGAGCGACCGUCUUCUCCAUAAGUUCAAUGAUAUAUGCCAGACACAUAAACGCCCCUUGUGGCUCGACGAGGAUGUAUUCAUCACCCUCGUUGGGGCCUAAACUCUCCCGAGUAUCAGAAGAAGAGGGAGUGGGACAAGCAGAAUCACCGCUCUGACUGCAGGGCCAUGAGGGUCUUGAAGCACACUGUUGCGGUGCUCCCAUACACGGAGUACAAGGAGGCUAAGAAAGGACGGGAGCCAACCGCUGCAGAGUUACACGAGCACGCUCAUAGGUGACAACCAGAUCAGUCCUAGUGGACAAAAGAUCCCAUGUGAUUGAGGAGGCCUUUCAGAGGCUCAAGGAGAGCUAAUCCCAACAAUUGGAUGGUGGUUCGAUAACAUCUCACCAUUCUUCUGAGUAAGACCUAUGGAGAGAGGCUAUUGGCGACAAGAAGAAUGACAGGUCUACAGGAGGAGGAGAUUCGUUGUCAGGUUGCUGUUAAGGUUGCUACCCAGAAAUCCACCCAACUAGCCACUCCAAGAUUAGAGAUGGAGCAGAAGAUGAAAUCAAAGAUUGAAGCCGUGUUGAGUUCUGAACUGCAGAGGGGAACGCAACAAGUUCGGGAUGACGAUGAUGAUGAGAGGACCGACGAAGAUGAAUAGGAUUUUUUUUUAUGUUUGUAUAUAUUGAACAAUUUAUUUAUUCCAAACAAUAUUUAUAUUGGACAAUUGUAUAUUUCAUUUCGUUUAAUGCAAUUGUUUUUUCUUUGUGUA